rnacentral:pre_miRNA from 1 species
GAUCACACCAUGGAAAUAUGGUCAAAAACAAAGUUGAUCCUCUCAUCAGGAUCUACAACUUUUAUUUUGGUCACUUCUUCAUCCGACAAAGUGAUAGUUAUACUAUUCACGAAUAAUCACAUUUCUCUCAUCUGGUUUAUAAAUAUCAACACAGAUAUGUCAAUUUUGUAAACAUUGGUAGUAUCACUUUGUCGGAUGAAGAAGUGACCAAAAUAAAAGUUGUAGAUCUUGAUGGGAGGAUCAACUUUAUUUUUGACUAUAUUUCCAUUUGAAAUC